ACAAAAGAAAGUUAAUUGUGAUAAUGAAGCAAAUUGUGAAGCUUUAGUAUCAUGACUUGAUUGCUACUUUUAUUUGCAUAAUAUUUGAGCACUUGAAAUGUAAUGAAGCUCAUGAGAAGUGUUUGAUAAUUCAUAUGAUUUUGAGUAAUUAUUGGUACCAAUAGAAGUCAUGUUUUUGUACUUAUAGUUAUCCUUUUUGGCUUGGCGUGAAAUGGAUGCGCUAUUGAGUUAAAUACUUGGGAGGAGAUUUUGGUUCUAUUAUUGCUUGAGGAUAAGCAAUAAUCUAGAUUUGGGGAUUGAUAAGUUGGUAUUUUAUCAACUUAUCUUUAAACCUAUACGUUUGUUAUGUCUGAGUGAUAAAAUCGUUUGUUUAAUGUCAUUUACUUUUAUUUUACAGGUUGUAUGUGACUUAGAAAUAAUGGUGAAGAAACUAAGUGAAAACAAGUAAAAAAUGAGCUAAAAUGGACAAGAAGAAACCACCCAGUGAUUUGCUCUUCGCGAACGCGGAGAAGCAAUAAUGCGAAGUACACAAUGUGAAUGCGAUGAAUCAGAACAUGAACCGCAGGCUGAGAUUAGCAAACCUUCGCGAAGGUGUGGUCAUGAACGCGAUGAAGAAACUGGACGAGAAAACUGAGUAGUUUUGAAAUUACACAUUUUUUAUCCCAAACUAUUUAAUGCCAAAACCAGCUUAUUUGUAAAUAUCUUUUGGCAUAUUUUCAGUUCUUAGUACUAGAAAGUAAGUCUUGAAGUAGGGUUUUCACAUAUAUAUGAGAUUUGAAGAUUUCAAGCUUGUGGUUAAGGAUUUGUUACCCCAUGUUUGUUUAUUUCUUCAUUUCCUUGAUUUGUAUUCAAUAUUUAAAUGUGUAGUACUUAUUUCCAUCACUUGAAUCUUGUUUAUGGAAAUAUUCAUAGUUAAAAAAAAUCCAACUUCCAAAAUUUGAUACGCUCAAAUUACACUUUAAUUAAGUAGUGUAAGGCGGUCAGUGUCAAAUAUAAUAACCCAAUACGAUUAGGAUAAAAUCCCAUAGGGAAUAAGUGUGAAAAGUCUAAUCGAGUAGUGUAUAACUUGACUUAUGUCGUAAUUCUAUUUUGUUAAUAUUAACAAUAGUAUGGUAUGAUUGUGAUUUGAAGAGAGAACUAAUUGUAAAUUUGAGAAUGUUAGCAACUUGAUUAAGGAAGACGGAGUGAUCUUUCCCUCUUAUGAAAGCCGGUAUCUCACUUUCGAAAGAGAGUCUCGACGUGGCGGUGUAGACCUAGCUCCAUAGCUGGGCUAGUCACUGGCUAGAGGGCGACCGACCUACCGGACUCUCGACGUGGAGGUGUAGACCUAGCUCCAUAGCUGGGCUAGUCAAUGGCUAGAGGGCGACCGACCUACCGGACCGGAGGCUGCCGAGAAUGUUAUGUAAAAAGGACCAAGGAGGAUCCUAUCCUAAAGGAGAAGGAGUAGGAGUAGGAGCUAGCUUUAGGGGCGGAAUCGAAUGAUUACGAGAUAAAAAAUGAGACAAAGGAGAGCACUUAGACAAUUCACUUUGAAUACUAGGAAGUCUGCUGGUAGGAAUUCCUCAGGGCGUAUUACGGUUUUUCACCGAGGGGGUAGAUCGAAGCGAUUGCAGCGAAGAAUUGAUCUGAAACGAAGCACUUCGUCAAUAGGCAUUGUAGAAAGGAUAGAAUAUGAGCCUAAUCGUUCUUCUCGAAUCGCUCCAGUGCGAUGGACCGGGGGGGGGGGUUCCGGCAGAGAAAAUGUAAGACGAUAGAAGAGUUCGCUCCGCCGCGUAAGAUCCUUGAAUCAACCACGACUACCAUCUGAGGUCCAUUUUCGUUCUCUUCCCUGCCCGGGAAGGGGGAUCAAUGAAAGGUAGCUUGCUUCUCUCCUGGACGGAUGGCAACUUAUGUAGUGGUCGGCUUUCCUACCAGAAUGCCUUUUUGGUCGAAGAGCCCCUUUUUUACUAGUGAGGACGCAGGAAGCAAAAAAACUUGCGAGAAGGCCGUUUUCUUCUCUGCCCUCUCCUCUCCAAAGGCCAAGGGAGAGACUGCAUCCCUUUCCUUCGGUAGCUCUUUUGGUUUCCCAAGGAUAGCGGUAGCUGGGGCAAAGCCCGCUUUCUUCGCUCCGCGAAUGAGAGAGAAAGUCAGAGGAAAAAACACGUUCUCUCUUUGCGAGAUCCGAAAGUGGAGAACGCAUAGCAUUCUAUGGGUACAUAGGAUCAAACGUAAAGCAGCGCUCUCUUGGCAGAGUUUUAGGCGGCAAGAGACUUUAGGGCUUGUUGGAGCUUCUGAGCGUAACGAAUCGAAGCCGAAGACGGAUCAAGGUAGCUUGCCUGCCAAGCCGAUAGGCGAAGGGCUGAAGGAUGGAACGUGCAAAGUAGAUCGUGCACCUGUCGUGUGACCCGUUGGUCCUAAGCAAUGUCUUGCGCGAAGCGACCCACUUAGAAAAAGCUCCCCUUUAUGUUAGGGGAGCACUAAAAUGCAACUUCGAUCGGAUGCGGGUAUCAAAUCCUGCCGCUGAGAUGUCCAGCGGAUUUCUGGGCCUUGACGAAUGGCCGGCCACCUUUUACUCUAGAAGAGCAAAAGGCCCAGGGCAUAGUAGGAUGAACCAAUGUGAAUGAGUGUAAGCUUCGUUGCCCGAACACGAUUGGUGCUGACCACACUAGGUGCUACCGUGGUAGCAAGAGAGGUCAGGCGGUGACAAUUGAGAGGUUGUCACUGAGCAUUCCUAGUCACACGGGAAAAGAGGUCAAAUGGCAAGGCCAUACGCCCGUUUGGCUCCUCGCGGAGUAUAGCUCACAUCCAAACAUCUGAUUGGGGAACGGGGCUACACCCAUGAAGCUCCGGCGGUAAGGGAAGGCCUGCCAGGCCGUAUGCCCAUGGGUGCAGGAUUCUUCGAUAAAGCGCGGGCUGACUCGGAGACCUGGGACCUUGUCUUAGUAAUGAAUGAAGGGAAGCUCUUCGAGCUUUCUCCGCCAGCGGCAUAUGUAGUCGUCGGCCUUAGAAAGCUCGCUAAGCCUCGCUUCCCUCUCCCCUUCACUUAUUAGUUAAGUGGAAAAUUGUCGUCGGCAUUCUAUAAGCGACUUGACCGAGUCUACGAAGCUUUGCUUUUCUUGUAGACGGCCCGUAAUGCCUCCCUUCAUUUGCUUGCCUCCUUUCAGCUUAAAAUGCCUAAUGCCUAUUAUUUAGUGCUAGAAGCUAACCGCCAUAAACUCACCCUUCGGGUCUCGCAUCCAGCGCAGGAGGCCAAGCAUUCUGCCAGACGUCCCGGCCUGGGAGCCCCGUUCGCCUUUGGUACUUCAGUAGAUCUUCUAAAAUAAAAAGCGCUACUUCAGCCUUAACUACAACUACAUUACGCAAGCCCCGCCGAUACCUACCUAUAGAGUCAAAUUAAAAUCAAAAAGUACCAGUGACGGCGACUUUCUAGGUUUAUGGAUUCAGUCAGCUAAACUCCAUCAAACUCCUCAAUCAAUAUCAACAAGAUGUCAAAAAGUACCAGUGAUGUCGACUUUCUAGGCAUAUGGAUUCAGUCAGCUAAUCUCCAUCAAACUCCUCAAUCAAUAUCAACAAGAUGUCAUGACCGCUUAGGCUUGGUUUACUUUGGUUCAAAUGUAAACUAAAAUAAGCGGCAUUUAUUCAAACAAAGGGAACCGAAGGUUUCCUUGUUUAGUAGUACGAAAAUAGUUCUACUAUUAAGAUGUUUAAUAUUAAUAAGAAAUAUUCAGUGUUGUAGCUGUAGAACAGAAUGUCGUUCGCCUUUACUUUGACUUUCUGAGAAGGACUUAAGUAGCUAAGUUUCCAAAGGUGAACACCCCCUGUCCUUUAUAGUAUAGACGUAAAGGGCUUCUCAGAAAAGUCAGGAAGAAGGCAUUCGAAAGACCGACCACUAUCUCAUAGGCAUUCUGGUGGUAAAACCGACGACUACAAGGCUCUAUACCAAGUCAUGAGCGAUAGCGAAGACAAGCCGCCGUCUAUAGGUGAAGGGAUGAAAGCCUGAUGAAGGCCUCUGCUACAGUAAGAAAAAAAGUACGUUGAGGUUUCGAAGUCACUUAGCCGUAUACUAUACAAAGGGAAAGGCGUCGGUACGGAGUCACGUCAGCUGUGGAUAUAGACUAGGCUAUAAGGAACGGAGUCAACAACUAUGGACCGAGACUACACUAAGGAACAAGGAAGCUUGACUGAGAAAAGAAGUCAAGGAACAAAGCUGCUUUUCUAAUAGCCCCGUUGAAUAGGAGGGCGAAGGCUUUUUGAAAAAGUCUUUUUUAUCUUGUAAAUGCAUUUUUUUCUAUUUAGAGAGUGGGGGCUUCAUGUUCUUAGGAAGAGCCGUACGAGACAGCUCACGUACGGUUCGGGAGCAGAGCCCCUGCGCAGGGGCUUAGGUCAACACUUAUAUAAUAGCCAGUCAUCAAUUGGAAGCGGGCAAGAUGGUGAUGAAUUGCGAUUGGUCUAAUGCUUCGACUAGCGACUUAUUGCGACCUGCCCAGAAUGCCCGUACAGACUAAGACCUUAUUCACACAGCGAAGAAAGGCCGAGUGGAAUGGGGCAGGCAGCUGGCUGCUUCUUUGCCAUGCGCUUUGCUUCGCUUUAUUUUAUAAAAGAAAGAGACCAAAUGAGAGUGAAAGGCAAGGGCAAGCGAUAGAAAGGAGAGUCCCUCGCGCGAACUACUACUACUAGAAAAUGGUGAGACCAUUAGUGAAAGAAGGACCAAGGAGGAUCCUAUCCUAAAGGAGAAGGAGGAGUAGGAGGAGUCAGUUUUCUUUGAAGAUCGAGGAACGUAGUGUCGGACAAUUAUGCCAUUCGGAAGAAGUCUUCUACAGAAGAAAAGCCUGUUACGAGUAAGUGGAGAGGAAAGAUCUCCAGGGAUUCUUAUCUCGUGCCAUUCGGAAGAAGUAUUCUACAGAAGAAAAGCCUGUUACGAGUAAUUGGAGAGGAAAGAUCUCCAGGGAUUCUUAUCUCAUUCCAUUCCAGUGGCUCAACCAGUAACCAAUGGCGAAAACUAAAAAAUCCAUGGUUUCCAGGUAGAACCCUAUUUCGCCCAAGUUAUUUCGGUACCGGAAAAAAAAAUCGGUUUUUCGCACAGCUUGCUCAUAGUGUAGGUCCCACUUGUAUAUCGUAUUUGGCCGAAGAAGCAUCGGACAGGUUGGAGUUCGUACCUUCUUGGGACUCCAUGGACCAAGAUCUGCUUUUAUUAUAUGGUCAAUACCAAUCUACUUUAGUAGAUCAUGUGGAUGUAGAAAAAGCUUCUAAUUUGGAUGAAACAGAAACAUCUCUUUUCCAUUACUAUUUACCCAGUUCAUAUCUUUGUUUCGUGUGUUCCUGGGAGGAAUUCGAUCUCGGAAUACCACCUAAAUAACUACGGCCAGAGAGUCAAAUAGGUCGGGAAGAAAGAGUCUGAGGUCGGGUCGGACGACAUACAUCUUGGUUGGUUCCACCACCACUUGAGAUUAGACAUAUAUAAUCUUUAUUCUAAUAAAGGGAUACUUAUAUAUAUAUUUUUAAAAUAGCUGCAAGACCAAACGGGGUGCAAAAAACCGAAAGCCCUUCUUUUAUUUAUGUUCCUCCCAGAUACAUGGCUUACAUACCCGGCUCAACAUUCUUGGAAAACAAUCGAAUCGAGGGUUCGGAGGAGAAUUGGCCAUUCAAUCUUGUGAACUAAUCGAGACCGAAAUUGGAAAAAGAGAUACGAACGGAGAGGAAUAACCAAUCGAUGAAAGAACAUGAAACCAUUCUGUUUCAAUAGAGGUACGAGAAACGGUUGGGGGCAAUGAAGUAGGUGAAGUGGUUGGAUUUUGCGAGCUGUUCCAACCACUGCUGGAUGUGAUUCCAAGAGCCGAACGAGAAUGAAUACCACAUAGAAGAGUCAUGACCAUGCUCCCCAAUGGAAUGUUUAACCGAUCCAUUCCGGAUCGACCGAAUUGGUACGGAAGUUGAAACAUGGGAAAACCACGGAAAACUCGACUUAUUUGAAUAACCCGGUGACCUACCAAUUGUAGAAGUUGGAUUUUUGGCAAGCAAUAAGCACUUAAAUAAUACAAUUCAAGUGUACCAUCUUCUUUCUCAUUUCGAGGAAAAGGUGCGGAAGGAAAAGGAAACAACGGAGGGAUCCGAAUCGGACCUAAAUGGGAAUGACAUGAAAAGUCUUUUUCAAAACCUAGCAUUAAGGGCGUUACGACGAUAUACGAGAGGAAUAGAGAAAAACUCGUGAUUGGUGUGGAGGGGAAGAUCUGUUUAUGAUAUAGUUCAAGAAAGAGUCGUCUCAUUUCCUUACUUCUUUCUAAUUCAUUCACUUCAAGACUGGUUCUGAACGCCGCCUAACAUCAUCUUCAACCAACCUCCACCGUACUUUCGGUGCGACCACUAAAGAAUUGCUUAUACACUAAACAGCUGCUUAUAUACGUUUACUAAAAGACUGACUUUCAUUCAUUAUCAUUAGUCCAGCGUGAAACUAAGAAAGAGAGAUGUGCCUAAGGCGGCAUGUAAGCAAACUGUGCACGCUAAGAGAAGAGGAGAGAUGUUCGCAAUUACUACCACAAGAAAGCCGCCCCCUAUCUUCUAAAGGGGCCCGUCACUUCGUUCGUACCUUCUUGGCUUAGGCUUCCAACUGAACAACAUGGCCUUGCCGCCCCGCCACUAGCAGAAGCUAAGCGCUUGAAAAGCGCGCUAAGAAAGGUUGCUUCUGUCGCCCUUUCUGUGCAACAGUCCACCAGUAGCGGAAGAGAGGGCUACCGUACAUACAAGAGUCUUCCAGUUCUUACGGAAGCUCUUUCUUACCAGUCAUCAAGUAGUACAAGAACUGUAUCUUAUCUUAUAGCCCGGCGCGGCGGGUCGCCUUUUAAAUAAGUAGAUAGAAGAAAGUAUAAAAUAGAUAAGGAGUAGGUGAGUGAGUGAGUCCUCACUGACCUGAGCGAUUUCGAUCACCUAGCAGGCCUUUUAUUUGGUAGGUAACAUCGCCAAAGCGUAUCAUCAGAUUUGACUACGAAGGAAGGAACUCGAAGUGAAAGGGCACCGUCUUGUGCAAGGCAACGAUAGUUGGCCCUCUAUCAUCUUCUAUCUGGUAGACUUGGUAAAAGGGCCCCGACUUAUUUCCAGAAUAAGAGUUCGACCGAGGCACCAUCUUGUGCAAGGCAACGAUAGUUGGCCCUCUAUCAUCUUCUAUCUAUUAGACUUGGUAAAAGGGCCCUGACUUAUUUCCAGAAUAAGAGUUCGACCGCGGCUUCCCCCUUUUUUGGGGGGGGAUCAAGUUCCUUGCCAACUGCCACCUAUCGACCCCGACCUCUUUUCAUUUGUUUUGGAUAUUACCAAACCUAGCCUAGCCUUCGUAAAUCACACUAAAGCGGACACCCAACUAUGGAAAAGCCUCCUUAAGGGGGGGUUAGGUUAGUCAAUCUAUCAAUCAUGUACAUAGGUAGGACCCUCCAUUCUGAUUGGUAUAUCAUGAAAAAAGAAAGCCAUUUGCACCAGGCGCACUGCGCUUUCCCUUGCCCAGAUGUUUGCCUUUCUAAGUCAAGUAAUGGUGACCCACCGAAGACUGGAGCUUCGCAACAUGUUGACGAAGGCCCCCGAAUUGAGGGUUCGGUCAGUAGAAGGGACGACUUUUUCUCCACGGAAGAAGAAUAGCCCCGCUCUCUAGCCGACUGAUCCCGUUGAUCAUAUAACUGUGAGGGAACGUGUCACAUUAGAGGUGAACGAUCAGAGGUGUCCACGACGAGGCUGGUACCUCUUUUAGUAGACUCAGCUAUGAAUAUUCAUGAAGAAAUGAAUGCCGGGCUCUUUCUUUCAGUGCUAACCCCAAGAAGUUUCAACAUGCUGAAACUUUCCGUUUCGUCGAGCCUCGAGAUUGUGGUCCUCCUUUGAGUGUGGGUUCAAUUGAAUGAAUCUGUCAAGUCAAGGAAAACGUACGUAGCAGCAAGGAUGGUGCAUCGCCUAUUUAUCGUUCUCGCUCGGGAGCCAAAACGAACACGCCUGCUACCUACUGUACUGGACCUUCGACCAGGCAUUCUACCUUUGUCGAAUCGGAACCAACACCACUGCAUUGCGCUCGAACAGUUGAGCGGCCGCCGGCCAGCAACUUCCGUGCACAGAUAUAGAUUCAUUCUUCGUACCUGGUCCAGCCUCACAACCCUUCGCGUUUAUCCUUCUUGCUCGGGAGCCAAAAAGAACACGCCUGCUACCUACUGUACUUGACCUUUGACCAGGCAUUCUACCUUUGUCGAAUCGGAACCAACACCACUGCAUUGCGCUCGAACAGUUGAGCGGCCGCCGGCCAGCAACUUCCGUGCACAGAUAUAGAUUCAUUCUUCGUACCUGGUCCAGCCUCACAACCCUUCGCGGGUUGGUAAGAAGUCAGUCUUGUUUGGUAAGACGGAAUUGGACAAAGAAAAGAGAGUGCUCGAUACCGGCCAGCAAUUUCCGUGCACAGAUAUAGAUUCAUUCUUCAUACCUGGUCCAGCCUCACAACCCUUCUCGGGUUGGUAAGAAGUCAGUCUUGUUUGGUAAGACGGAAUUGGACAAAUAAAAGAGAGUGCUAGACCGCAACAACGACCAACAACGUAAUUACAUAGAUAACUGCUCCUCCCCUGAUCCUUAUGGCUUUAUGGCGAACCGUAUGGCAGCUGGAAAGAAAGACGACCUCACCUUCUCAGGUGUCAGUGAGAGAUAUUUGAGUAUCCCCCGUUGACCUUCUUUUGUAGAUAGAAUCUUCAAUGAGUGGAAACAAGCAACCUUACUAAGAAAGGUGCUUGUUGAGUAAGGCCGGCUUUCGAGCCCAAGCCCCUUUACUAGGUUGGGCGCUUGAGCACAUCUUUCUCAUAUCGAUCAAGGCUUUCCUUGAGUUUGAAAUAAGGGGCAAGAAGCAAGGGCGUAGCAGCUGCGCGAACUUGCACCUUGGCGCAUCCGUUUUCUUGCAGCAGUGCUAAGGCGCGACCUAACGUUUUCUUCCGCUUGCUCAGCAGUACGAGCCUCAUACAAAGCUGCGCUCCUUUAAUAUGAUGAGAAGAAGGGGGACCGGCCUCUUUUCCGUACCAAUCCUUAUUUACUACUUCAUCUUUUUUGGGCUGUAUAGCUCAGUUGGUAGAGCAUUGGCCUUUUAACCUAAUGGUCGCAGGUUCAAGUCCUACUAUUCCCAAACCUACCUUACACUCUACUCUGAAUAAGGAUGCAUAGUAGCCUUCAAAGACGAAGUUGCGCCUUAGCACAUCCGUUUUUUUGCAGGAGUGCUAACGUGCGACCUUACGUUUUCUUCCGCUUGCUCUGCAGUACGAGUCUCAUAGAGAGCCGCGCUCCUUUAAUAUGAUGAGAAGAAGGGGGGCCGGCCUCUUUUCAGUACCAAUCCUUAUUUACUACUACAUCUUUUUUGGGGUGUAUAGCUCAGUUGGUAGAGCAUUGGGCUUUUAACCUAAUGGUCGCAGGUUCAAGUCCUGCUAUACCCAAACCUACCUUACACUCUACUAUGAAUAAGGAUGCAUAGUAGCCUUCAAAGAUGACUCUUUGGCCUUUAGACUCGCUUCGGCGACUUCGCCCUUUAAGUGACAAGGGGGUGAGCCGCUCCAAGCGGAAAGCGAUAGUGAAUCCCGAACUUGCCCACGCUCAUCCAAACCGGCCUCAAAAAGCGAUCGGAAAGCGAAGCCCUUCCUUCCAAUCCAAGCCGGCGAAGCCGCCCCUAUAUCUAACCACCGCUCACCCCGAUCACAUAUUGGCACGUUCAUGAUGCAUCAUAAUCAAAAGGCCGUAAAGUAAAGAAGACCUAUGCAUCAGUGUACUGUCAUGAUCACAUAUUAGCUCGAUUUUAUUGACGGCUUGAAGGCGAAGCCGCCUAUUUCUUAGGGCAAAGGGCGCUCCAUCCUCCUAACUCCUUCCACUUCUCCCAGGGACAGGAACUACGGCUUGACCUUCGGGGAAGAAGUCCGUGGGACCCCUCCUUCGAGGGCGCCUAGAUAGUGAAAGGUUAUCCCUUUGCAACGCUGGAAGCUAAGCAAAGUCACGAAGCUGGCUGACUACGCUCGAGCAGAGCUCAGACCCGGAGGUGGUGGCUGAACUCGCCGCAGAGUUCAGGAGCGAGCAAGACUAUCUUGGUGAAUGCAAUAAGAACCGGCUGCUCGCCGCAGCAGAGUGCUUUGCCCAUGCUGCUAUCCGCCGCCGAAGCACUCAAGGGAUUCGUUCUUGAAUGUCGAGAUCAGGGGACUCUAUCCAAUCCAUGCGACAAAUCUGUUUGUGGUGGAAAAAACUCAACAAUAAAAAGAAAUAUAUAGAAUAUAGAAAAUCAUUGAAUUUGUUUGCUCCGAUACAAGAGAUCGGCCCCAAAACAAGAUAUGGUGGGUGCCAGCAACUUUCACUUGUUAGGAGUAGGGGCUGAAAAGAGCUCUAUGUAUAGGGUGGGUUUUCUGGGCUUUGAUGCUUACCUUCUUAUUAUUAAAAGGGGAAGGUUUAAUAAAGGAGCUUUUCAGCCCUUUUGCUGGAUUGUUGGUCCGCAGCCCCGCCCUAUAGAAUGAAUAAGGAGAGGCUUAUCGAUGACCGAACCACUCUUAUACUACUCCUUACCUCACCCCCCUUGUCACUUAAAGGAAAAGCCAGAGAAGGGGGCCUGCUGGAAACCCUCGCCUUCGGCUCCAUACUGAAAAGGCCGGCCAUGAAGGGACAUCACGACUAUCCUUUCUGGGAAUACCGGGCUUUAUAUGAUCCUGAUCAGUGAUCAGUACACUGAAAAGGCCGGCCAUGAAGUGACAUCACGACUAUCCUUUCUGGGAAUACCGGGCUUUAUAUGAUCCUGAUCAGUGAUUAGUAUAUUUUAAUAUUGUGGACCCUUAUGUGCUUUUUUUUUUGUUAUACUAGCGGCGGCAGAUCUAUUAGUAAACAGGAGACGCUAUCGCUCACCCGGCUGGAUGUACACUCUGACGGAUGGAUAGGCGUAGCAGAAAAGAAAGGGUCAAUUACAAGAGUAAGGCGGAGGAAAAAAGACGAGAGAGCAAGACCCAGGAGGCUCGCAGCUACCACGGCCGUAAGCACUCCGCUCGUUCGUAAGCCCCUUUAGAGAUAGGGGCGAGCCAGGAGCUUACUUCAAGUAUCUAUGACUCUGGUGGCAACACGUGACAGGCGAAUGACAUGAUUCUUGAGGAGUUACACGACGGCCAUGUGAUGAUGCAUCAAAUAGAUGCAAGGGUGGAUGACUCGGUAGGUCCUUGUAUGGACUGAUUGUGUUCCCCACACGGAGAGCAUUAGAGGAAAUAGGAGUGGACAUCUAUAUGGGCUUCAUGUGAUUCGAAGCCAACCACUACGUAUUGCAAGAAAGUCCUAUGUGUACCUAUGUAUACCUAAUGAAAGCCAAAAAGAGCCUCUUAACACUUACCUGCCUAAACCAAGCAAGAUUCAAGAAUAAAUACAUUACCAGCAAGAUACUUUACGGCUUAGCCAAAAAAGGUGAGCGCCUAGCGUGAGCCUUAUUGAAAACGGCCUAGAUAACGAGCAAUCUUUCUAAAGCAAGAAGCAAGGGCGCAGCAGCAGCACGAAGUUGCUUCUUAGGGCAUAUCCGUUUUCUUGCUAGUUAGCGCUUGACUAAUAAGAUAGAAAGAGCCUUUCUUGCUUGUUUAGUAAAGUCAAGCUUUGGCGGUAGGGUUGGGGUGGCUUGCUGGGGCACUCGUGCCCUUACUAGUUUUGGGGCUUUGAUUGGCAAAAGCGGUUUUCGCCUUCUAGCCAGCAGUUGCCGGAUUAGCCUUCGGACUUUCCUUACCCGCCUUUAUUGAGAAAGAAGAGAUCUAAAGGUUGGACAUCCAUCGCUGCCGUGAUGACGCGGUUGAAUGUUCAUUCGAUCCAACACCCGGCCGAUCAAACCUAUCCUUGGGUUUGAUCCAGCAAGUGAUUCCCUCACCGAAAGAGGGAUAGUUGUUAGGUCAUGAAUGGAAUGCGAGGAAGAGAGAUAAGCAGUUGGCGGGGACCAUCCGUUAUCGGUAGAAAUGCCGGUCGGAAUUCGAGAACGGUCCAUCCCACCAUAAUGGAUCUCUCCUACCGCUACCUACUAGUUGAUCGAUUUAGGGAAGGAAAGAAAUGCCGAUGUUGCAAUUCUUCCCAUCCCGAUAAAGUGAGUCACCCGUGAUUCGAUAGUUCCAUUUUCCGCUGAUGCAGGCCGAUUGGGAUCCCAGCAGUCAAACCACUGUGUUCGUUCCUCACCCUCCUUCCAAUCAAAUCUAUUCUAAGGUGUCCGGAGGCAGGGGAAAGAAAGGAGGGAUUGAUCGACCAACUUGAACAGAUCCAUAACCUGCUUCCAUCUGUCCUGAAUGAGGGAAUUAAGGCGGGUAUAGUCGAACUGAACUGCUUGAUUCUAAGGUGGGUGAUAAGCAGCUGUAUCCGUAUCAAGCCUACCUAAACCACUCUGUUCGUUCCACACCCUCCUUCCAAUCAAAUCUAUUCUAAGGUGUCCGGAAGCAGGGGAAAGAAAAGAGGGAUUGAUCGACCAACUUGAACAGAUCCAUAACCUGCUUCCAUCUGUCCUAAUGAGGGAAUUAAGGCGGGUAUAGUCGAACUGAACUGCUUGAUUCUAUGGUGGGUGAUAAGCAGCUGUAUCCGUAUCAAGCCUACCAUCUCUUCUCACGAAAGACUUUCCAUCCCGUCUCUGAAAGUUUUGCAAUAUAAGUGGCCCUGCUUCAAAGCCCCAGAAAACCCCCCUUACUCUCUCUCUAUAAAAAAAAGCCCUUUCCCCUUUCUUUAAUAAUAUAAGGUAAGCUUUGAAAAGUAACACGCUCCCGACAGGCAAUUAAUCCUCCCCAGAAAACCCCGCUUACUCUCUCUCUAUAAAAAAAGCCCUUUCCCCUUUCUUUAAUUAUAUAAGGUAAGCUUUGAAAAGUAACACGCUCCCGACAGGCAAUUAAUCCAUAAUAUCAUCCAUCGUUGGCAUUAUUGGAAAUAAAUCACCCAACUCUUAUUCAAAGCCCAUCUACACACUCCAGCUGCUUCCUUUUGAGCUAGUCAAGCAGGCGUUGAACACGGACUGAGACUCUCCCGCCCCUUUGACAGCAAUUCCUGCACUUGACGUCGGAUCUCCUCAUUUUCAAAUGGGGAUAAGCGAGAAGCCGCUUUGCAGGGUAGACUCGCUCCUACCUGCAACUAAAUCUGCUUCUAUAUCCUCCUCUUAUCUUAGGGGGUAAUCAAGCCGGUACUUGUGGAUUCAGGGGCGGCAUCAAGUCGGAAGAGUGUCGCAGAAAGAUAAAGAUCUGCACUUCCCUUUUACAACAUAGGAGGGAGGGGGCCUCGUUCCUAAAAAGCCUUUCCGAUUGCCUCCGCCCCUAUCUCUUAAAGCUACGGCAUCCCACCGAUCCCCGAAUCGGCUCUGCUAGUUGGCUUUGUUGCUAUCAAGGCAUAGCAUUCUAUGGACUCUUUCCCACGUCCAGAAAUGGUAUGCCAACAAAUACCUUUUGUCCUUAGCCAACCAAAGUCUUCUGAUGGCAAUAACCGCGUUUCCCGUUAAAACUAAAGCGGUGUUAUCUCUACGCAGGUAGAACCCUACUCGUAUUACCAAGGUCUUCCGAGUAGGAUAUGUAAUACGUCCAUAAGGACGACGUCACACCAGACGUCCUGCUUUAACUUCCCUAGCCCCAACUGAUCUACCAUCUCCGUGGACGCUAUCUUAUCCAAACUCCCAGCAUCAAUGAUUAUCUUUGCACUGGCCAAUUCCGACAUAGAUUUUGAAUACAGCCUUCCGUCUUCUCCUAACGUCCUGCUUUAACUUCCCUAGCCCCAGCUGAUCUACCAUCUUUGUGGACGCUAUCUUAUCCAAACUCCCAGCAUCAAUGAUUAUCUUUGCAUUGGCCAAUUCCGACAUAGAUUUUGAAUACAGCCUUCUGUCUUCUCCUCCUUUCUGCUGACGUUGCCACACAAUCUAAUGACAGUGAAACUGUCUCCUCUCCUAAGCUUGAGAACACCCGCUAUGUUUCCGACUUGAACUUACCUUUAGAGCUUCCCGGGCUCUAGGCUCGACAACGUUCACUCUUCCAUCUUCAGCUGGUCUAUUCUGCACUCCCCUAGCAGCAUUCGUCUGUCUGAACAUUGGAACAGUAACGAGAAAAAUGCCCCACUUCUCCACAUUCAUAACAGUUACCAGAUCCCUUCUGCUGAGCCUUUUCUUAUCUCCUCUGCAGCAAGCUCUGCUGGCCUCGUGCUCCAAACUGAUGGUGUCUCGACGUUCUCCUGGCGCUCUCCCCCUUUAAGAAGUGUAUAAAAAGGCUCACGUUUUUUGGCUUCCUAUAAACCCCUCCUAGGUUGUGGCAACUUUCUACUCCUCCUGAGCUGUCUUGCCCUAUCUAAAAUGACUUCGAGCAUCCAGCUUCACCACUGCUGCCUGCUCUCUCCUUCUUCGGCACUUCCCAGUCCACAACAGACCUGGUCUUCUCUUGAUCCAUCUGAAUCACACCCUUGCUGAUCCAAUGGCCAAGAAAUAGCACUUUCGUCUGAGUACUCUUUCACGUAUAGCCUCUUUUCCUGCUACACCCGGAACACUUUACUCAGGGUUCCAAACCACCAGUGAGUGACUAUAAACGAUUAUGUCAUUGAGGUUUUCCACAACAAACUGGUCAAGGUAAGGGUUUGUGUUAUCCAUUUAAGUGCGGAACAAGACCUCAAUUGGGAUGAUAUUCAUAGAUCGCUUACUAUUUGUGUACGUUAUGGAGUCUCCACUCCAUGUUGAAAGCUUUUUCAAAUAGCAUGAGCGUUGAAAGUCUUCAAUUCGACUAGAGCGUUAGAUUAUUUUUUUAUUUUGACUUCUUUCAAAGGGCAAUGAAUAGGAUGAAAGGGGUUCACUGGAGUUUGUCUCUUGAAAAUGGUUUUAUUUAUUUAUUCUCUUGAAGGUCUUUUUCUCUAUUUUAUUUCAUGGUAUCAAAGCCAACAAGAGAAUUAGGUGCUAAAAAAGAAGCCAAAACCUGCUUGUUGAAAGAAUCAAACUCUUCCUGUCUGCUUUUUCUUUUUUAUUUUAUGAUCGAGGAAACCCUUUUUUUUAUAUGCCCUAUACCCACCCAAUUUCUUAUGUACACAAGAAGGAUCAUAAUUCUUUAUGUUUNNNNNNNNNNNNNNNNNNNNNNNNNNNNNNNNNNNNNNNNNNNNNNNNNNNNNNNNNNNNNNNNNNNNNNNNNNNNNNNNNNNNNNNNNNNNNNNNNNNNNNNNNNNNNNNNNNNNNNNNNNAUAAUCAAUCCUAUUUGUUUUGUUCAUUACUAAAAUGAAUCGAAUCCUAUCAAAUAUUUAUAUUUAUCCUUUGAAUUACUCAUAUAUAUCCUAUGAAUUUCAUUUCGCACCGGAAACUAUUCUAGGAGAAGUUCGAAUCCGUUCCGUUCGGAUAUUGAUUGGUCUUGGUUUGACAUGGUUUACGCGUUACUGGUUCCCGGAAGAGUUAAUAUCUCCAUUAGCUAAACCCUUUCUAACCCUGCCUUUGGAUUCAUUUUUUGUUCGUACACAAUAAACGGAGGCCUUCCCGACAUAUGUUGCAACGUCUCCAAUAGCAUGCUCUUACUUCGUCUUUCCNNNNNNNNNNNNNNNNNNNNNNNNNNNNNNNNNNNNNNNNNNNNNNNNNNNCAAUAGCAUGCUCUUACUUCGUCUUUCCCUUAAUAAGUCAUCAAACUUGGUGCUUUUUGAUCCCUAGUUGCUAUGGGUAACAAAGGACGAAAUACAAUCGAUUCCUCCAUUUAAGUGGUUCUCGCUUCUCCUUGUUCCUGUUCCUAAAUCCUCCCCGGGUAGUUCCCAAUGUUUGGCACUUUCCAUACUUCAUGGGUGCAACAUCAACAAAUUAGCUCAUGAUCAAGCUACAACCUAAGAUCUAUGACCAUAUUAUGUUAACUGUUCGUAUUUCGUUCAUUCCAUCGGUAUGCUCCUAGGUACCUGUAAUUGUAAUCCGUUUGCCAGAACAAAGGGGUCUUUCUGUAGAAACCUCCACGAACAAUCGUUGUUUUUAUAUGGCUUUUCCGUUUCUCACAGCUGCUCUUUCCACACCUCCGGAUAUCUGGUGCCAAAUUGUCGCCCCUUUCCUUAUUUCAUUGAUAACAGAGUUGGCUAUCUUUGUUGCAUCGAUUGUACAAGUUCGUGAAGAGGGCUGGACGAGUGGAAUGAGGGAAAGCGGCUAGAUCGAGAAAGAAGAAGAGUAGCCUCCCUAGAACCUGGCAAAGUCAUUAUCAAUGAAUUCCCGAGCAAUUCUCAACCAACAUAUGCGAUUCAUUCCCGUAAAGAUUAUAACACACAAGAAGACUCCUUACCGCUCCGUGGGGAGCGGGAUGAGUGAUACAUCUGGCGAGCGCCGGUGAAGAACGCAAGCAAAGCUGGAGCUCGGGUAUUGAUAUAUUCCAUCAAGAGAAAGGAGGCAGACUGGUAAGAAGGCCGACCACAUAGGGGGGGCGAACCGAAAAACUCAGCUUUUCGGAGCGGACCAAUCUUCCGUGCCGCCCCCCCCUUACUCUCUCUCUAUAAAAAAGCCUGCGGGAAGCGCGAAGAGCUAAGCCACUAAUGUCGUGGCGAAGGUUAGACCUCAUAAAGUCAGCGAAGCUAAGGUUUCGUAUGUGUUAUAUCCUUUCGAUCGAGUGAGAACUUAUGAGGAAGGCCUUCAUUGCCCUUUGAAAAAAGUA
rnacentral:lncRNA from 1 species